GACGAACGCUGGCGGCGUGCUUAACACAUGCAAGUCGAACGGAAAGGCCCUGCUUGCAGGGUACUCGAGUGGCGAACGGGAGAGUAACACGUGGGUGAUCUGCCCUGCACUUCGGGAUAAGCCUGGGAAACUGGGUCUAAUACCGGAUAGGAGCCAUUUUUAGUGUGAUGGUUGGAAAGUUUUUUCGGUGUAGGAUGAGCUCGCGGCCUAUGAGCUUGUUGGUGGGGUAAUGGCCUACCAAGGCGGCGACGGGUAGCCGGCCUGAGAGGGUGGACGGCCACAUUGGGACUGAGAUACGGCCCAGACUCCUACGGGAGGCAGCAGUGGGGAAUAUUGCACAAUGGGCGCAAGCCUGAUGCAGCGACGCCGCGUGGGGGAUGACGGCCUUCGGGUUGUAAACUCCUUUCGCUAGGGACGAAGCUUUUUGUGACGGUACCUAGAUAAGAAGCACCGGCUAACUACGUG
rnacentral:rRNA from 1 species